CCGAGUCGAGCACCACAGCACAGGCCGGGAAGCGCCGCUCACUCCUCCGGAGUGGCAGGUCUCUUUAAUCAAGUUUCACCGGGGUAGUACGUCAAUUAAAGAUGCCCGCCGGGGAGGAAAAAACAAAGCAAAGAGCGGCGGAGGAAACCAAAGAUGUGGAUGACGAGGAUUCGGAGGCCAUGAGGAGAAUUGAGAAGUCCGCAGAACGGCACGAGAAGAAGCGGAAGGACGGCGAGCUGGAAAGCGCAUCGACUGAUGUUCGAAUCGGCACGGAAAAACCGCAAGCUGACGACAUAGCGAAGAAGAAGAAGACGAGCAAAAAAGCGAGCGGGGAUGACCUCGGCAGCCCGUGGCCGAGCACAGACGAUGAAGACCACCACCACCACCACCACCACCACGGGAGAGAGGACAAUCUCCCGGACGUCAUUGUGACCGCAAAGUGUUCGGAUUACAAGAUGGGCUCAAAGGAGCAAAAAUCCAAGGAGGAGGAAAAAGCGGCGGGGGAUGAGGAGAAGAAAAAGGACAAGACGAGGAAGACGAAAGGAUCUGGGAACAGCGACGAAGACGUCACGAAGACCAAAGGGAAGAGGAAGAAGAAGAAGAAGAAGAAUGUGGAAAAUUACGUGGAAAUCUAUGAACGGGAGCUUCGGAAUUGCCAGCUGGCGGAACUUGUGGACAACUGUCAAGAUGAGUACCACAAAAAGAAAGUGUACGAAGUGACGACGGUGACGGGAGACGAGCGAGGGGCGGGCACCGAUGCCAAGGGUUCAUCGCUUUCUUCGGACAAUCCGGGAUCACUCCCAAAGUCCAUCUGGCCAGCAACACUGUGAAAAGGUCAGUUUGCCUUCAAGUGGAUUUUGGGGUGAUUUGCGCGAAUGUCCCUUCACUUCUUCAGGAGCCGCACCGCGUUUGAGAGGGCGAAGACGGACGUGUUUCGGAUUCGAACCCACAACGUGGGAGCCUUGAAGAAGAUCCGGUGGGCGAAGGUGGCAAUUCGGGAAAAAAAGGGAGGUGGUGACGGACGUGGUCCGGCCUCACCUCAGGUUUUACUUUGCUUGUAACAAGUGGCUCAGCAAAGUGGAAGGAGACCGCCUCUUUGUUCGGGACUUGCUGGGCACUGUCGACCACGUGGACGUGC